rnacentral:rRNA from 1 species
UACGUAGGGUGCGAGCGUUGUCCGGAAUUAUUGGGCGUAAAGAGCUUGUAGGCGGUUUGUCGCGUCUGCCGUGGAAUCCCGGGGCUCAACCCCGGGCGUGCAGUGGAUACGGGCUGGCUAGAGGCAGGCAGGGGAGAACGGAAUUCCCGGUGUAGCGGUGAAAUGCGCAGAUAUCGGGAGGAACACCGGUGGCGAAGGCGGUUCUCUGGGCCUGUACUGACGCUGAGGAGCGAAAGCGUGGGGAGCGAACAGG